GCAAUCCAAACCACGUGACCUCUGGUUGGCACACAAACUAAAACAAAGAGGUUAUGUUUGUAUCUAUUUUUCAAUGAUUUUUCAUUGUUUAUCGUCGUAUUUUGUCUAUUUUGGAUUUCGUUUCCUGUUUUUGUGAACUUUAUAAACUUUACCACAAUGCAAACUGAUUAUUUAAGGAAAUUAUUAUUGGAAACUCCAGAUGUUGCGAGAAAGAUAUUUAUUGAAGCUGAAAAUAAUUGGGGAUUUAGAUCCAUAGGCAAUUCAGUCAGAAUUGGAUUUUACAGUAAAGUGCAGUCCAUCAAGUUACUAUUAUAGAUAUUUAUACAUAUCUGGUGGAGUCUGACAGUUGCUACUCUAAGCAGCAGAUGAAAGCAUACAAAAGCCUUCAGGCACAUAAAUAUUUUACAGCUGGAUUUGUUUUGAAUGGAGUAAAAAUUGUUAAUGAUUUCCUGAUUUCCAUAUUAUUGUCGGAAAGGUGAAGCAUUUCCAAAAAUCUAAUGCUAAACGACUAAAUGCUUGGGCGGGGUGAUAGCCAGUUCUGAUGACAUAGCAAAUGCAGAUUGUAUGCGUAUGGCUGGUAAUAGUGAAGUCUGCAGCAAUCCUAUUUUUAGCUGAGUAUGCCCAGGGCAAGACAGACGAAGAAGAACCCAAUGCAUGUACAUAUGUUACUGCUACAUGGUUUGGAGAUAGCAACAUAUGCAUUCUCUGAUGAAAAACUAAUGAGUUUUGAAACUGUUCGGUCAGAGUGCUUGUUGUGCUCACUAAACGAACUGAAAUAUAAGAUGGCUUUGGCAUUGUGUUGCAGCGAUAUGAAAAUGGUUAUUCAUUUUUAAUUAUAAUGUACUUCUUCAUCAUGAGUAAUUAUGUAUUGGUCUUUUAAAUGUGUAUUUAUUUUUGUAAUUAGUAUCAACUUGUAAUGAUAAUAUACAUUUAUCGUUUAAGGUAUGACUAUGUUUUGACUCUAAAAUAAAUGAUUUAAAAAUCGAA
rnacentral:lncRNA from 1 species